GAGGCAGCCUGCAGAGGCGCAAACAACAGACCAGCAAGUGGUAGCAAAGGACUCGGAAGCAGUAGGUUGAUGAACAAGUAUUCAAUGUUCAGGUGCUUUAGAAAAAGCUACGCACACAACACCUACCAUGUGUUUCUCCUUGAGCUCAAACACUUGCCCCAAAUAGUUUGUGAUCAUCCAAAGUUGAGAGUCCAGUUUUCCAGAGGGGAUAUGAGAUGUCUGGGCAUUUGUCCACAUUGGGAGACAAAGCUCAGCCUGAGAGUUAUUUUCAUUUACAGAGAGUUCCCACAAUUCUUACAAUAGAGAGGAGAGGAAAAAGGAGAAAGAAAAAAAAAUUGGGGUAGGAGAGAGGACUUCUCUUCUCCUGCUGGUGGCUCUCCUGCGAGAGAACUAGGGCAGUUUCUGGGGCAGAUCAGAUCCUUUCCAUUGAGGCCUCCUCAAUAGUUUUCUCAAUGUUUGCCUGAAGCAGGAGUUUGCUGACAAAGUGCUUUCAAAUGCAUUGUAUGAAGGCUCCCAGUGGAAGGUAUCAAAGGAAAAGGUGAAGGUUUGUUCGGCCGGGGCUUUCCUACUCUGUUACUGAUGCCUCUGAGCACCUCAGAGGGAGACAAAGGGAAGAAAACCAGCUGGACCAAAAUGUGCUUUUUUUCUUUCCCAUUCACGUAUCAAGAUGUGCAGAGAAGCCGUGAGUGCAUUUGGAAGGGGCUGCUCAGGCCACAGCUGAGCCAUAUUUUAUUUCCAUCCUCGUUUGCAUUUACCUCCCUAGAUGCUCAGACACAGAAACAAGAACUACUUAGAAGAAAAGUAAGAAGGCAACGUUAAGUGCUGCUGUAUUACUUGAAGGAAGCCAGGCUGAUUAAGUUAGAGGCUAUAAGGUUAUGGCAAGAAUGACAAAAGGGAAAGAUAAGGAGACUCUGUAUAGUGCAGUAAAACAACUCCCUUCUUCACUCAUAAAACUUCUAGUAGCUCUGAAAUGGAGCCCUAGGAUCUCAUUAAAAACAAUAUUUCAAAUAUUGAGUGGGCUGAAUCAUCCUACUUCAACUGACUGGCCUUCCCUCAGCUUCCAUCCUUCGUAUUUGUAUGAGUUGCAGUCAGCCUGAAGGUUAC
rnacentral:lncRNA from 1 species